rnacentral:rRNA from 1 species
UACGUAGGGGGCAAGCGUUGUCCGGAAUCAUUGGGCGUAAAGAGCGUGUAGGCGGCCUGAUAAGUCGGCUGUGAAAGUCAAGGGCUCAACCCUUGAAUGCCGGCCGAUACUGUCAGGCUAGAGUCCGGAAGAGGCGAGUGGAAUUCCUGGUGUAGCGGUGAAAUGCGCAGAUAUCAGGAGGAACACCGAUGGCGAAGGCAGCUCGCUGGGACGGUACUGACGCUGAGACGCGAAAGCGUGGGGAGCAAACGGG